rnacentral:rRNA from 1 species
UACAGAGGUCUCAAGCGUUGUUCGGAUUCAUUGGGCGUAAAGGGUGCGUAGGCGGCGCGGUAAGUCGGGUGUGAAAUCUCGGAGCUUAACUCCGAAACUGCAUUCGAUACUGCCGUGCUUGAGGACUGGAGAGGAGACUGGAAUUUACGGUGUAGCGGUGAAAUGCGUAGAUAUCGUAAGGAAGACCAGUGGCGAAGGCGGGUCUCUGGGCAGGUAACUGACGCUGAGGAGCGAAAGCGUGGGGAGCGAACAGG